UUUUUUAAGGUUUAAAAUUUUUAUAUUACUGUUUUUAUGAUCUAUAUAUACAUUUUUGCAGCCACUUUGUGAAAUAAAUCCUAGAGUUGGAGUUUAUUUACAGUGGCUGCCACUCGCAUUUAAUAAUUGUUUUUGAUAAUUAGAAAGAAAAUCUUUAAAUUAAAUAUUUGACAAUCUUCCCAAAAUCUUUCCACAUUAACUACACGAUUAGUUACUAAAAUAAAACUUCCGAAAUAUUUAAUAUCAUUUAAUUACUACAAAAUUAUCAUUUUUGAUAUUGUUUUUCUACAUGACUAUAAUAAUUCGAUUAUAAUCAUCAAACCGCAGAGAUAUUAGAUAGCAUUUAAUUACUACAAAAUUAAAAAAUAUUUAGACAAUGAUUCAUAAACAUAUCAUAAAUAAAAUCAGUGAAUUUUUUUUACGGGACGGAUUGGCGGGACGGGUUUGACAGGACGUUACUUAAUAACAAUCGUAAACUAUAAAAUAAAAAUAUUUUAUAGAUAAAUAUAAUUUGCAAAUUUUUAUAUAUAGUAACUUUAAAAAAUAAAUUGUCUCCGCGGUAUACCGCGGGUUAAAAUCUAGUUUUCUAUAUAUAAAAGCGUGCUAAUGAUAAAGCGGAUAAAUUAAGAAGUUUCAGACGCAUUUUAUUAUAUAAAGUAGAGUUUUUAAAGUUAAUAACUCAACUGAUCGUGACACGUAACAAGUCAAUCGUUCAUAUGUUGAUAUUGUGUCGGAUUUUUUUUUACUUUUUUCCUAAAAGAAAUAGGCAAUUUAACAAAAACAAAUAUUUACAUAUACUAAUUUAUAUGUCUAUAUCUAAAAAA
rnacentral:sRNA from 1 species